rnacentral:rRNA from 1 species
CCUACGGGGGGCAGCAGUGGGGAAUAUUGGGCAAUGGGCGCAAGCCUGACCCAGCAACGCCGCGUGAAGGAAGAAGGCUUUCGGGUUGUAAACUUCUUUUAAGAGGGAAGAGCAGAAGACGGUACCUCUUGAAUAAGCCACGGCUAACUACGUGCCAGCAGCCGCGGUAAUACGUAGGAUGCGAGCGUUAUCCGGAUUUAUUGGGUUUAAAGGGUGCGUAGGCGGGCUGUUAAGUCAGCGGUAAAAGCCCGGGGCUCAACCCCGGCGAGCCGUUGAAACUGGCUGUCUUGAGAUGUCGAGAGGUAUGCGGAAUGCGCAGUGUAGCGGUGAAAUGCUUAGAUAUUGCGCAGAACUCCGAUUGCGAAGGCAGCAUACCGGCGGCGAUCUGACGCUGAGGCACGAAAGCGUGGGUAUCGAACAGGAUUAGAUACCCCUGUAGUC